rnacentral:rRNA from 1 species
UACGUAGGGUGCAAGCGUUGUCCGGAAUUAUUGGGCGUAAAGAGCUCGUAGGCGGUCUGUCGCGUCUGCUGUGAAAACUCGGGGCUUAACCCCGGGCCUGCAGUGGGUACGGGCAGACUAGAGUGCGGUAGGGGAGACUGGAAUUCCUGGUGUAGCGGUGAAAUGCGCAGAUAUCAGGAGGAACACCGGUGGCGAAGGCGGGUCACUGGCCCGAUACUGACGCUGAGGCACGAAAGCGUGGGGAGCAAACAGG